rnacentral:lncRNA from 1 species
GAGCGCAGCCACGCUGCCCCUUUAUGGCGGCACUUUUUAUUUUCAUUUGUUUACUUCUGGGUGCGCUUUCGUCUUUUACACGACUGCGUAUCCUUCCGCGACUCCGGGCCGGGCGCGGACACCGCACCGGGAAGCACGGGAGGAGCCGCCGACACCUCUGCGGGCUCGAUCCUCGUUCACAUUGCAGGGACUACUUUUUAGGAAUGAACCAUUUUUGCUGUCAUCAACAGAUGCUUAAGGCCAUCAGAGCCCUUCCGCUAAGGAUAAAAUACGACAUAAUGUUUAAAAUGUACCUUUUUAUAAAAAUACUCUGCUUGGACUCACACUGGCCGUGGAAUUUCCUCGUGUUCCGAGGCAAGAUGCGAGGGGCGAGCGGUGGAAGGCGGUGGCCCAGGAGACGCCCCCUACGCGUCCUCAGAUUGGCUACGUCUCACGGCGCGCAGGGACGGCGGGCCUGAAAGAUGAAGACUACGACUCCCAGCUUCCCGAGGUGGGGCCUCCGUUACACAUGCGCACAGUCGGCGUGAGCGGUCUCCUCUAUAUAAGGGGCGCAGAGGGUUGGGAGGCAGCAGUUGGAAGUUGGCAGGUGGAGAGGCAGGUUGGGAGGGAAGUCGGGGAGGAGGCGGAAGAGGAGCCGUCUGAGGGGAGGAGGGAGGAGGCGGAGGACUGAGCGGAGCAAGCGCCGAGCCAGAGGGAGAUGAGUUUGUCUGUCUGCGGCCGAGCCUCUGGCCUGGCCUAGGGACCUGGGCGCGCGGGUCGGAGCGACACCCGUGGAAGUGGGAGGAGGAGGCGCCGGGACUUUAACCCCUUGUGCGCUCUGCGGCAGGGGAUUUAACCCUUUGUGGGCUCGGCUCUCGGCGCGGCGUCAUCGGUGGCGUUAACCCCUUCGGGGCCGGGUCCCG